rnacentral:lncRNA from 1 species
UAUAUGAUGGAAAGAGACAAACAUAUUAUAAGAAAGAAAACAAAAAAGCAAAGUUUGUUUAAUAUUAGAGUUAAUAAGAAAUCUAUUAGUUCACACUAGAUGCACGACAAACCUAACUUGAUCAUACCUAUCAUUUUUCAAACAUAAAUAAAUCCUACCAUUCUUCCCUCCCUCCCUCAAUUCUUUCCCCCAAGUUUCAUUCUUUUCAUACACUUAAGAUUUAUUGUCACGAUGUUGGUUAAACUUCAAGUAUAU